CCCUUAGAUGUUCUGGGCCGCACGCGCGCUACACUGAAGGAAGCAGCGUGUUAGAGCACCUGGCUUGAAAGAGCUGGGUAAUCCGGUGAAUGUCCUUCGUGAUUGGGAUAGGGACUUGUAAUUAUUUCCCUUGAACGAGGAAUACCUAGUAAGUGCGAGUCAUCAGCUUGCGCUGACUACGUCCCUGCCCCUUGUACACACCGCCCGUCGCUCCUACCGAUUGGGUGUGCUGGUGAAAUGUUCGGAUCGGCCGUUUGUCGCGGUUUCCGCGUCAUGUGGCUGAGAAGUUCAUUAAACCCUCCCACCUAGAGGAAGGAGAAGUCGUAACA
rnacentral:rRNA from 1 species